rnacentral:rRNA from 1 species
GAUGAACGCUGGCGGCGUGCCUAAUACAUGCAAGUCGAGCGAACAGACGAGGAGCUUGCUCCUUCGACGUUAGCGGCGGACGGGUGAGUAACACGUAGGUAACCUACCUAUAAUACUGGGAUAACUUCGGGAAACCGGAGCUAAUACCGGAUAAUAUUUCGAACCGCAUGGUUCGAUAGUGAAAGAUGGCUUUGCUAUCACUUAUAGAUGGACCUGCGCCGUAUUAGCUAGUUGGUAAGGUAACGGCUUACCAAGGCAACGAUACGUAGCCGACCUGAGAGGGUGGUCCGCCACACGGGAACUGAGACACGGUACAGACUCCGACGGGAGGCAGCAGUAGGGAAUCUUCCGCAAGGGGCGAAAGCCUGACGGAGCAACGCCGCGUGAGGGAUGAAGGUCUACGGAUCGUAAAACUCUGUUAUUAGGGAAGAACAAACGUGUAAGUAACUGUGCACGUCUUGACGGUACCUAAUCAGAAAGCCACGGCUAACUACGUG